ACCUUCCGUUUUGCCUCAAUUUGAUGCGUUUAAUUGCGGCACAAAAAGGCGUCAAAUUGAGGCAAAACGCAAGGA
rnacentral:miRNA from 1 species